GAUGAACGCUAGCUACAGGCUUAACACAUGCAAGUCGAGGGGCAGCGGGAUUGAAGCUUGCUUCAAUUGCCGGCGACCGGCGCACGGGUGAGUAACGCGUAUCCAACCUUCCGUACACUCAGGGAUAGCCUUUCGAAAGAAAGAUUAAUACCUGAUGGUAUGAUGAGAUCGCAUGGUAUCAUCAUUAAAGAUUUAUCGGUGUACGAUGGGGAUGCGUUCCAUUAGGUAGUAGGCGGGGUAACGGCCCACCUAGCCUACGAUGGAUAGGGGUUCUGAGAGGAAGGUCCCCCCACAUUGGAACUGAGACACGGUCCAAACUCCUACGGGAGGCAGCAGUGAGGAAUAUUGGUCAAUGGACGAGAGUCUGAACCAGCCAAGUAGCGUGAAGGAUGAAGGUCUUACGGAUUGUAAACUUCUUUAUAAGGGAUAAACCCUCCACGUGUGGGAGCUUGUAUGUACCUUAUGAAUAAGCAUCGGCUAACUCCGUGCCAGCAGCCG
rnacentral:rRNA from 1 species